UCUAGGGUCUGUGGCCAUGGAGCCAUCUAACAAUGUGAGCUAUGAUGGAAGUUUUGGGCUGUACCAUAUUAAUUCCAAUCUCAGAGAAAAAAGAUAUUCUUCUGGGAGGAGCUGUAGACUAAAGAUCAGCAAUACAACCAGUAGAUAAAGACUAAUAAAAAUGAUACACCAAAAGCGGGGCUUUUGCCUCUGAGACUUGAACCUUCAGCCUUCCUCAGUUCUCAAGUCUUCAGCCUCAGAAUGAAACUUACACCAACGGCUUCCCUGGCUCUCAGGCCUUUGGACCUGUGCUAAAUCACUACUGCCUCCUUUGAUUCUUCAGGAUGCAGAUGAAAUUUUGUUGGACUUCAAGAUGCUUCAAAAUAAUAUCUCAGGUAUUGUUGACUCCUUCUCUGGAACUUGCAACACACCAUCAUGCCGACACAUUGCCAAAGGAAGAUCAGCUUGCUGUUCCCUCCUUUGUGU